ensembl:lncRNA
GCAUAACUGCCGCCGCCGCCCCGCCAAUCCCAGCCGCCAUCUUCCGCCGCAAACGCGGCGGGGAGGCGCCGAGCAGCAUCGGAAAAACUCGAGCGCCUUCGUGCACGGGGAGCGAAGCUACCACGCCUCUCUUCAGGCUGCCACCGAGGAAGGGUGCGCAAACGGAGAAAAGGCAGAGCAGCGCCCCGCGGCGGCGAAAGAAAGGGAGGAGCGGCGCAUGCGCAGGGAGGGACGGGGAAGCCGGGCGUUGCGCCUUGCCCUCACGCUGCCCUCCCGGCACGUGACGCUGAGAGGCGGGGCGGUCCCGCCAUCCCCCGUCCCCUCGGCGGCCGUUAGGCGGCCGCAGCGCCCGUGGUGCCGUCGUUUUUUCCCUUGGUGAAGAUGAGAUGCGGUGGUCUGUGAGAUCCCCCACUGUGGGGCCCGUAGGGAAUUCUUGAGCAAAAGGUGCACCGCGGUCCAAUUCAAAGUCUGUGAAGCGCCAAACCUGCUCAUACGGCGCUGCUUCUCCAGACAGCGACUGAUGGAUUUUACCAAGCGCCUGCCCAAACACGGCAGGAAGGAGCUGUGUCCGUUCACAAACUGUCCACUCACAUCAGGGAAAAGCAUUACAAACAGUAAUGCCUGUUAGCAGCUCUCCGAGGAUGGCUUCACUUCUAAUGGAUAAGCCAGGAAAACUGUUCAGAUAAACCGCAGCAGGCUUAUGAUCUCAGGAGAGCUGUUAUUUUAAGUGUCUUGUUAAAGCCUCGUUUUCUUGCCAGCAGUGUUUCCUUAGCUUCAGCAAAAUAUUUUCCAGUGUUUCAACCCCCUGUUUUCAAGUGAGACUAAAUGGCAGGAAUCCAAGUUGCAAAAUCGGUGAUAUCUGCAUCAUUUUGCUUACUGAAGACAGGCUAAAAUCCAGCCGGGAUUAUUCUGUCCACUCUGGGGCUCAACUACUGCAAGGAGAAUGGGCUAAACAAAACGUGAUAGAUAGACAGAUAGCUGUACUGAGACACAGCAGACCUUUCAAACAGAGGUAAAAACGACUGAUGCUGCUGCAAAGGCACACCGCAUCAGCAGGAUGAGCCCUGCAAAGCAGCUCGGAAGAGCUGUGAACAGACAAGCGUGAAUGUCAGUCCUGCUGCCCCUGAAUGGCCACUGGUCACAGGAAUGCUGAAAGGAAAUAUGAGACAUGCGCUCAGCAUGGUGAGAGGCUUUACCAAAUAGAGCCAGGUAUCUGGAGAACAUCACUAGCAGAAACUGGCAUGCACGGAUUUCUUGCCUGUGGAAGUAGACACCGGGAAUUAAGUUUGUUAUGAAAUGCAUCAUAAGUAUGUGGUUCAACUGGGAAAGAUGUUGAAAUGAGGCAACCUGUUUAUGGCUGUAUACUGUAAGAACCCAGAAGGAAGGAAGCGCUGGCUCAAGAUGUAGCGUAACGUCUGGAAUGGCUCUGCAGAAACUGAGUUCUGCGAAACUUGGAUGUUACUGGGAAGGAGGCAACAUCCAACAGAUGGGAGGGAGAAUAAUCCCUUCUAUCUCUAUUUUCCACUUCUCACUGGAAAACUGUAUCAUUGCAAGAUUAAAUAAAAACCGUAAUAUUAGCUAAUGAGGAACUGAAGGGUGACAUUCUACCAAGGUCACACAACCUCUGUCACCAUCCAAAACUGGACCAGAAACCAAAUAACCCAGAAUGUAUUCGCAGAUGUGCAAAUAAUGAUUCUAGUACAACCAUGUUGAUCACAAUUAGUAUAAAACUAGAAAAAAAUAUAGUAUCUGAUGAUG